GCUCCCGUAGCCCAAUGGCAGAGGCAACCGGCUUAAAACCGGUCCAGUGUGGGUUCGAGUCCCACCGGGAGCA
rnacentral:tRNA from 1 species